UACGGAGGGUGCUAGCGUUGUUCGGAAUUACUGGGCGUAAAGCGCGCGUAGGCGGCUUAGCAAGUUAGAGGUGAAAGCCCGAAGCUCAACUUCGGAAUUGCCUUUAAAACUGCAGAGCUAGAAUCAUGGAGAGGUUAGUGGAAUUCCGAGUGUAGAGGUGAAAUUCGUAGAUAUUCGGAAGAACACCAGUGGCGAAGGCGACUAACUGGACAUGUAUUGACGCUGAGGUGCGAAAGCGUGGGGAGCAAACAGG
rnacentral:rRNA from 1 species